rnacentral:rRNA from 1 species
GACGUAGGGUGCAAGCGUUGUCCGGAUUUACUGGGCGUAAAGAGCGCGUAGGCGGUCUGUUAAGUGUGAAGUGAAAUCUCCAGAGCUCAACUCGGAAACUGCUUCGCAUACUGGCAGGCUGGAGGAACGGAGAGGUGAGUGGAAUUCCUGGUGUACCGGUGAAAUGGGUUGAUAUCAGGAGGAACACCGGUGGCGAAGGCGGAUCGUCUGGGCCUUGCCUGACGCUGAGGCGCGAAAGCUAAGGGGAGCGAACGAGG